GAAGAUUUGAGCAGUGAACGGGGGUGUCCUGAGAACAUUGUGACAUGUGUACAAGAUGUCAGACAAUAGGCUACUGAUGGUACCAGAUGUGAUGACCAACAUAACCUUCAGAAAUGAAUUGAACAAAUGUUUCUUAGUCUUCAUCGAAAAGCCAGCCUUUAUAAUCACACUGAAUCCAGCAACACCCUCACCAAGAAGAUUUUUUUGAUGUAUACAUGUCAAAAGUGCACCUUCAAGAAACAAAGAUCACUGUGAUGAGGGAGAUGAGACACUACUGCACCGCACCUAUCUCAGAAGCCUGGCUAGGAACAUCGGGAAAAUUAUAUCAGAAAUGUCUUCAUGCAAAAACAGUGGCAGUUUAAGUGAAGAGUGUCAUCGCUGGCUACUGUGUCUUCUUCAGAAAAGGCUUGCAGAUGUAGAGAAGAAGUUCCAAGUUUGCUCAAGUUACAGCCAGG